CGUACACUCCUACGGGAGGCAGCAGUGGGGAAUAUUGGACAAUGGGCGCAAGCCUGAUCCAGCCAUGCCGCGUGAGUGAUGAAGGCCCUAGGGUUGUAAAGCUCUUUCACCGGUGAAGAUAAUGACGGUAACCGGAGAAGAAGCCCCGGCUAACUUCGUGCCAGCAGCCGCGGUAAUACGAAGGGGGCUAGCGUUGUUCGGAUUUACUGGGCGUAAAGCGCACGUAGGCGGACUAUUAAGUCAGGGGUGAAAUCCCGGGGCUCAACCCCGGAACUGCCUUUGAUACUGGUAGUCUUGAGUUCGAGAGAGGUGAGUGGAAUUCCGAGUGUAGAGGUGAAAUUCGUGGAUAUUCGGAGGAACACCAGUGGCGAAGGCGGCUCACUGGCUCGAUACUGACGCUGAGGUGCGAAAGCGUGGGGAGCAAACAGGAUUAGAAACCCGUGUAGUCCCAUG
rnacentral:rRNA from 1 species